AAACAAAAAGUAUUUCAAUUAUUAGCAUUGAAGUCCACAAUCCUGCUUUAGAUUUCACCUUUGAAAAAAAAAAAUGUAUCUACCAACAAACAAGUCAAAGAUAUUAGCUGCAAAUCCAAACAUAACCCGCAAGAUGUAUCCAUUACUUGGUUAAUAUUUUAAUGAAGUAGGUCUAAAAGAACAGCAGAUGCUCUUGUUUGGAUAAGUGUAAAAUGUGACACUUAGUUUCAACAACAGUACAAUACAAGGGCACACGAGGAAAAGGUAUCAAUUCCAGAGAUGAAGUUCUUCUAGUAAACAUGAACCUAAACAUGUAUUACGCUCUUUUUUAUCUUAUACAAAUGAACCUGGAACCUGCUAUGCCCCUUUCCAUUUGUCUCGGGCAUAUUACAAUCUUUGAAACUCCUCAAUCAAAGCAGCCAAAAUUCUUCAAUGCUUUCACCUUUUAUUAUUCUGUUCAUGUGUUGCCAGUGAUAGACAAUUGCUCUAGUCGUGCUGAGGCACACCCAAAGUGUUAGACUAUACAUUGAAUGUGUUUUCCUUCAAAAAGUUUGUCAGAUAGCCAUGAGUUUGGGGAGUGGAAAUUGCGUUCACAGAGCAUAUCCUGUAACCAACUAGUUUGGCUGGCAUUUAAUAUUUAAAAGGAAGGGGCAUAGUUUCCAAAGGGAGCCUCUAGCAACUACUAUGUAAUUAUAACAACACAAAUGAGAACAAACAAAAAACACAUUCAUUUUAAACAAGAAACAGACAACUACAUCUAACAUGAGGUGUCCAGAUAAUUUAUUCAAGAAAUGCACUUUUCAGAAGUUAUUAAAACAUAAAGCAAGGAUAUCUAAUAUAGUAACUACCAUUAGAGGAUUUUCUGAAACGACACAAAUUUUCACAUUAAAAUACAACGCUGGGACAGAGAAUGAAAUUGUUCCACAAUUAGAACUUACUGAAAGUUGAAAUUAAACAAUUUGAUUAUGUGCACUACCUAUUAUUACUGCAGUCAGAACAGUUACAUGUAAUGACCCUUAUUGUCAUUUUUAGUGUUUUAUCUUCUGUACAUCGUUUAGAGCGUUCCUAUAGCGCGUUCCUAUAGCGAUUCCAAGUCAUUUAUGACUUGCUGGGACUGACAGAUCGGUCACCGGUCAUUCGUUUGGUUAUUGUGUGAGUUUUAGUAUUUUUGGAGCUUAUGAACCUUGAACGAUCAUUCUCGAUCAAAAGUUCAAGAAGAUGACAUCAGAAUCCAAUUCUGACGAUUCCAUCAGUUCCGGAACAUUUUAGUCUAGUAGCAUUGUCGACAUGACUCCCUAAGUUUUCAGUGUGAGUUGGUGGGAUUAGGCGUUUUAACUUUAAGUUUAAAGGCUAAGUUUGACUUUAGUCAACUCGCUCGGAUGAGAAUUCCGUCAGCGCGGUUAGCUCCGGAAUGUCGAGUUUGGUCUAGUUUGACCCUUCUUUCGGGUUUUGAGGUUUUUGAUAUUUUUCCGAGUCCUUUUGUGGUUUUUGACUUAAAAUGGCCAAUGGAAGUGGGACCCACAUUUUAUCGAGGUGACCUUUGAUGAAAAUUUCGACUGCGCCUUUGAGUCCGGAAUGUCGACUUUGGUAGGGCAGCAUAUCCAUUUUAUUUUUAUCAGGUUCCGAACGAAUUCCGAGCAUCCGUCGGAGACUUUAAAGAAAGUAGGCAAAGCUGAAUCUGGUGCAGCCCCUAUAAAAACCCAACUUUCAGCUUUGUAUCUUACUUUAGAAUCUUGAUAUCUUGAGCUAUACAACUCCAAAUUGGGCGAUUCAAACGGCUAAGUUGUGAGAUUUUUUGAGGGCAACGCAUUGGUGAGCUUGGAAUCUGAUUUGGGGACCCGAUUUGAGGUCCGAAUCAAGUGAUUCAAGAGCCUAUAUUGUGUAGUUUUUCAUGAGGAUCGUCGUGGUGUGGUUGGUUUUGGCUGUUGGAGCUUCAUUUUUGGUAAAAUCUUGUAAGUAGCUGCUGCCAUAGUUGCUGAUUUUUAGCUUAGAAUUUGGGUUCUUUUGUUGCAUGUUCAUGUUGGGACUGUUUUGAGUCCUGAAUUAUGCUCCAUUAUGGUAUACAAGUUUCGAGAGUUAUUUAGGACUUUUAUUUGGGGUUAAUUCGGGAUUUCUCAACGCGGAUCCCACUUUUUCCAUUUUGACCAUGAAAUUGACCCGUCUCCGUUUCUUGCGAUUUUAGUGUAUCAACGUUUCGAGGCCUUUUAGAAAGUAAAAGAUCCGGGGAGUGAAUUUUGGAGCGCGCGUGAUCUGCGUUCAGGUAGGCUAUGGUUUCUCUUCUUAGAUUGAACUCGAACAUGUGAAUGCAUGUUGAUUAGUUGGGAUUUGGGGUUGGGUAGUUAUUGGAUCAUGCAUAGGUGUUACAAAUCAUAUUUCCGCUUUUUUUUUCCUGAGAAUUAUCGGGUAACUGUGAGCAUGUUUAUUGUUAUUAAUUGAUUUUUUUUGCUAUAUGAAUUACUUGUAUGUUUGAAUACUGGUUGUCAGAAGUAUGUUGGGCCUUAGUUUAAGUUUGACUAGGGUUUUCCUUAGAAAUGCAUGAUUCAAAGUCGGUAGGACUUAGUUUAGCCCCGACGUCGCUCGGCCGGCUUAAAUCCUUGUAGACUGAUGUAGCAGACUUGAGUCUGAUAGUUGGGUAUUUAGAAAGACGAUGAGCUUGCUCUAGCGAUUGUUACUCUUAUUUCUUCGAUGUUACGGCUUCUCGAGUUACGUCAGUGACAAUGAUUUCCGCUCCGUGAUUCAAAGUUGAGUUUCUAUUCGACUUUAAGGUCUUACAUUGAUUAGCUAAGUUUGGAUGGUGUUCCAUGGGUUUAUAUGAUUACGGAUAGAUAAAGACUCUUUCAGCAGCUAUAUCGACAUCUUUGUCGGGUAUCCGGAUUUAAGGUCCGGCCUCGAACAUCCACAUACUUAUGUAGAGCAUCCGGUUAGAGGUCCGGCCUCAAGUAUGUAGAGCAUCCGGUUAGAGGUCCGGCCUCAGUUACUUAUAUUUUGCAAUUGGCUACUUGUGUAAUUCUGGUGAGUGUCCGGUUCAAGGCCCGACCUUCGUACCGUCAGAUUUUACUUUUUGGUUCGGUGUUCUUCGGCCUCGAGUUUUAUUCUCCUUAAGUUAUAGUUAUUUUGUGUACUCGUCGGGCUUAUGGGGGUCCGUUCGGGUUUUUAUUUAAACUUGUGCACGAGUGUACCUUCUGGGCUUAUGGUGGGUCCAGUUAGGUAUAGUUAGCUUAUUUAUAUUAAUUUAGUUAGAUUUUUAUACACUCGUGUGCAUUAUUGUGUUACUUAGCCUUCUGUUCUUGAUCUCUAGUUUUGUGAUUCCGUCUUUUCAUAGUGCUUUACUUUUCUAGUUCAGUCGGCCUAUGAUGCCUACUGGGUACCUGUUUUUUUUGGUACUCGUGCUACGCUCUGCAUCUAUUUUCGUGAUGCAGGUCCGAGCACCGGUAGUCAGCGUUGAUCGAGUUUGGAGAAUUUCUGGUCUGGAGACAGGGGUGAGCACACAGCGUUUUGUACUAUUUCAGUCUCCAUCUGUUUAUAUAAAGAUUUGUCUUUUACUUUUCGAGACAGUCUAGUUUCGGUGGUCCACUGUGGGACUUGUACUCGUUUUGUUGGUAGCUCUGUAUUAGUGACUUCCAGGUUCUGGGAGGGAUCCUUUAUUGUAUUUAUGUUUUGGUUUG